rnacentral:lncRNA from 1 species
ACAGGUACGAACAAAGGCAGAAAAUUCGUGGUGACUUUCUCAACAUUUAACGUUGACAGCAUCUUCAACUGCAUUAUUUACAUAGGAAGUCAACGCAGCGGGAGUGUUAAUGUAACAAAACACAUUGGUAGCUCCUCUAUAACCGACAUUCAUAAUAUCGUUCCAGGUGUCAACAAAAUAACCAUAUCCACAUCAAAUCUGGUUCAGACAUCUGAAGGCAUACACACGAAAUUGUUACGCAUUGAGUCGGCAUUUGAUAUUGCUGUUUAUAUGACUGGAUACACGAUGGAUAAGCUUUAUGCUACUGCGUAUUCUGUAUUUCCGGAGAGCACGUGGUCAACGAAAUACGUGGUGCCAUCAUUUAAAUUAUACCGCAGUCUUAAAAACGUUGUGAUGAUAUCAAGUUUACAAAACAACACUUCAGUACACAUCUCGAACACAAAAUUGAGUUAUUCAGUAAAUACAACUAUCAACACGGACGAAAGCUAUGCAUUAGUAAAAGCGAAUGAUACAUCUGGAACUAUUGUUGAAAGUGACACUCCAGUAUCUGUGCUGAGCCAUAGUCAAUGCUCUAAAGUUCCAGAAUACACAUCAUACUGCAACACUCUACUAGACUCUCCAAUACCUGUGGAAUACUGGGGGUCGGAAUUUAUUGUUUCACCACUUACACCCAGAUUGGCGAGUUUUCUCUCAAAACAGUAAAGAGACCAUAAACAUUCAGCUGAAGAACAAAACUAACAGUUUGAAUACUACGUUUACUGGAAUGUAUCAAGCAUUGUUUGGUACAGAUGCCUUGGUGAUACAAACUGACAGUAAAGUCAAUGUGGUUCAGUAUGGACUUAGCGAAGCGUUCGAUAAUAUAAACGGCGAUUCAUUCAUGGCAUCUGUCCCUAGUAUCCAACAUUACAGCAAGGACGUUCUUAUUCCUGCACUUCUAGCUUCUGAUGGAUUUCUUAAUACUAUAGCUGUAACAAUUAGAAGAAACCAUCUUUCCGGACUUUUACUGGAUGGACAACCAGUAGAUUUACAAACUGCUAAAAUAGUCACACCAGCUCAACCAUACGAUGA